GAUGAAGAAGUAGCGAAAUGCGAUACUUGGUGUGAAUUGCAGAAUCCCGUGAACCAUCGAGUCUUUGAACGCAAGUUGCGCCCGAAGCCACUAGGCCGAGGGCACGCCUGCCUGGGCGUCACACGCCGUUGCCCCCCCAUCUACUCCUUCGGGAUUGCGGGGGGGCGGAUGAUGGCCUCCUGUGCGCCUAGCCGCGCGGUUGGCAUAAAUACCAAGUCCUCGGCGACGCACGCCACGACAAUCGGUGGUUGCGAAACCUCGGUUGCCCGUCGUGUGCGUUCGUCGCGCAUCGAGGGCUCGAAAAAAUGCUCGGCUCCGGCUGGGCUUUCAACGCGACCCCAGGUCAGGCGGGGUUACCCGCUGAAUUUAAGCAUAUCAAUAAGCGGAGGA
rnacentral:misc_RNA from 1 species